AGUGAACGCUGGCGGUAGGCCUAACACAUGCAAGUCGAACGGCAGCACAGUAAGAGCUUGCUCUUACGGGUGGCGAGUGGCGGACGGGUGGGGAAUACAUCGGAAUCUACUUUUUCGUGGGGGAUAACGAAGGGAAACUAACGCUAAUACCGCAUACGACCUACGGGUGAAAGCAGGGAAUCUUCGGACCUUGCGCGUUUGAAUGAGCCGAUGUCGGAUUAGCUAGUUGGCGGGGUAAAGGCCCACCAAGGCGACGAUCCGUAGCUGGUCUGAGAGGAUGAUCAGCCACACUGGAACUGAGACACGGUCCAGACUCCUACGGGAGGCAGCAGUGGGGAAUAUUGGACAAUGGGCGCAAGCCUGAUCCAGCCAUACCGCGUGGGUGAAGAAGGCCUUCGGGUUGUAAAGCCCUUUUGUUGGGAAAGAAAAGCAGCAGGUUAAUACCCCGCUGUUCUGACGGUACCCAAAGAAUAAGCACCGGCUAACUUCGUG
rnacentral:rRNA from 1 species